rnacentral:lncRNA from 1 species
CAUUAACAUAUUUGCAUGAGUGAUGGGGGAAGACACAGGUUGUAUUAUUAUACACUAAAACUAAAAUUUUCUGUACUCAUUAAGAACAAUAAAUAAUGCAUAGAAAAACCCCUAUUUUGUUGAAAAAAAGGACUGCCAAAAUCUACUUUUAAAUGAAAAAAGCAGAAUACAAAAGAUUCUGACAAAGUGGACGCACGCGUUCAGACCUGCUGUCCUCACGAAUUUAACUCCACCAUGGAGUUCUGGGGACGUGUCUUUACAAUUUGGUUUUGGCGAGGCAGCAUGCCGGACCUGAUCCCCAACCAGCGAUAGAACCUGAACCCCCUGCAGUGGCAAUGCCCAUCCCUCAUCAUUGGACUGCGAGGGACGUCCCAAAGGGAAGUAUAUUUAAAUCAUUAGCAGGAACUCCUGACCCUUCAAGUCGAGCUCAGGGUAAAACAGUCUACAUUCUGGGACGGAACGGCAGCAGGUUUGUCACCGUGCGGGGACACCCAGACGGUGUCCAGUCUGGGGACACCUCUUAGCAGUUUUACCCCCUCAGCCCUGCGAGACAGAGAAAGGCUUCACCUCGACCCUGAAGGUUUUGAGGGAGCAGGGGCCCCCUUCACACUCGGACUGGGCUCAGGUUUUCACCCCUUUGAGGAAAGUCUCAGGACCGGCCCCACAAUCACAUGAUGUCAUGGAUAAGGGACUUUGUUUGACCGUGUCCAGAGUAAACAGUUAGCAGUCUGCAUGGGACAACAGCCAUUUUGCUUUUUUGCAUUUCUUUUCCAUGGGGAUGGUCUUG